UACGGGGGAAGCAAGCGUUAUACGGAAUUAUUGGGCGUAAAGCGUCCGUAGGUGGUUGGCCAAGUCUGCUGUCAAAGGGUGUGGCUUAACCUCAUAAAGGCAGUGGAAACUGGCGAGCUAGAGUGCGGUAGGGGUAGGGGGAAUUCCCAGUGUAGCGGUGAAAUGCGUAGAGAUUGGGAAGAACAUCGGUGGCGAAAGCGCCCUGCUGGGCCGGCACUGACACUGAGGGACGAAAGCUAGGUGAGCGAAAGGG
rnacentral:rRNA from 1 species